CCUACGGGUGGCUGCAGUGAGGAAUAUUGGUCAAUGGGCGCGAGCCUGAACCAGCCAAGUAGCGUGAAGGAUGACUGCCCUACGGGUUGUAAACCUCUUUUAUCAAGGAAUAAAGUGAGGCACGUGUGCCUUUUUGUAUGUACUUUAUGAAUAAGGAUCGGCUAACUCCGGGCCAGCAGCCGCGGUAAUACGGAGGAUCCGAGCGUUAUCCGGAUUUAUUGGGUUUAAAGGGAGCGUAGAUGGGUUGUUAAGUCAGUUGUGAAAGUUUGCGGCUCAACCGUAAAAUUGCAAUUGAUACUGGCAGCCUUGAGUACAGUUGAGGUAUGCGGAAUGCGUGGUGUAGCGGUGAAAUGCUUAGAUAUCGCGAAGAACUCCGAUUGCGAAGGCAGCUUACUAAGCUGCCACUGACAUUGAGGCUCGAAAGUGUGGGUAUCAAACAGGAUUAGAUACCCUUGUAGUC
rnacentral:rRNA from 1 species